CCUACGGGAGGCUGCAGUAGGGAAUAUUGCUCAAUGGGGGAAACCCUGAAGCAGCAACGCCGCGUGAGGGAUGAAGGUUUUCGGAUUGUAAAACCCUUUUGUUAGAGAAGAAAAUGACGGUACCUGACGAAUAAGCACCGGCUAACUCCGUGCCAGCAGCCGCGGUAAUACGGAGGGUGCAAGCGUUACUCGGAAUAACUGGGCGUAAAGAGCGCGUAGGCGGGAUAGCAAGUCAGGUGUGAAAUGCUAUGGCUUAACCACAGAACUGCAUUUGAAACUGUUAAUCUAGAGUGUGGGAGAGGUAAGUGGAAUUCUUGGUGUAGCGGUGAAAUGCGUAGAGAUCAGGAGGAAUACUCAUUGCGAAGGCGGCCUACUGGAGCGUAACUGACGCUGAUGCGCGAAAGCGUGGGGAGCAAACAGGAUUAGAUACCCGUGUAGUC
rnacentral:rRNA from 1 species